rnacentral:rRNA from 1 species
AGUGAACGCUGGCGGUAGGCCUAACACAUGCAAGUCGAACGGCAGCACAGUAAGAGCUUGCUCUUACGGGUGGCGAGUGGCGGAUGGGUGAGGAAUACAUCGGAAUCUACUUUUUCGUGGGGGAUAACGUAGGGAAACUUACGCUAAUACCGCAUACGACCUACGGGUGAAAGCAGGGGAUCUUCGGACCUUGCGCGAUUGAAUGAGCCGAUGUCGGAUUAGCUAGUUGGCGGGGUAAAGGCCCACCAAGGCGACGAUCCGUAGCUGGUCUGAGAGGAUGAUCAGCCACACUGGAACUGAGACACGGUCCAGACUCCUACGGGAGGCAGCAGUGGGGAAUAUUGGACAAUGGGCGCAAGCCUGAUCCAGCCAUGCCGCGUGGGUGAAGAAGGCCUUCGGGUUGUAAAGCCCUUUUGUUGGGAAAGAAAAGCAGCAGGUUAAUACCCCGCUGUUCUGACGGUACCCAAAGAAUAAGCACCGGCUAACUUCGUG